AUGCCAUGGUGGGGAUAGGCCAUGAUGUAUUCCUGCAGCCUUUCCCAUGCUUCUGGGAUGGAUUCCAUCCCCGUCUACUGGAAACUUGAUAUCUUCCCGCGCAGGGCAU